AUGUGCUGCCCAUGGGUGCAGGGUGGGCGCCCCAUGGCCCAGCAGCACUCCACAGCUGCAGCCACACCUCAGCUCGGUGCUCUGCAGUUCGGAGAGCAGCGCUGGGCUCCCAGACGGCCGGCAGCAGCGGCACACGUGCAGCAGCAGCAGCAGCGAGUGCAGCUCCCUCGUGCACGGCUGGCACUGACAGAAACGCACAGGUGCAUUCUGGACCGAGAAGCAAGCAAAGCUGCUCUGGAGCGGAGCGCUCCGAGCAAAGCCAGAAAGCAGAACGGCAGCCGGGCAGCCCCGUGCCCUUCUCCCCUUCCUCCUGCACCCUCCUCAGCUCUCAGACGGAGCGGAGCACCCCGCACCCAGCUGCAGCUCCCUUCCUCCCCCGCAGCACAGCUGCAGCACCUGGGCUGUCAGCAGCGACACGGAGCGGUGCUGCAGCACGACGUCCCUCCCGUCCCCUUCUGCACCGCUGUUUAUUGCGGGUGCUGCCGUCUGCCUUCCUCCCCACGCACGGCCACUGCUGGGAGCACCCAGCGCUCCCUCUGGACAGCCCGGCAUCGCCCGCCCCCUGCCCUGCACCGCCCUGCUCAGCUCCAAGUCCCUCCGUGUGAGCAGAUCGCAGGCAGGCAUGGUCAGCUCCGUCCCGACACCCGACGGGGGCAGCGGUUGGGAAGUGAGGGGUGCCGACCUCAGCAGGGUGCAGCGCAGGGGUGGAGCGAAGGGAGCCGACAGCAGCUCCGGCCUCAGCCCAUCUCAGCCACCCCCGCUGCCCCCCAGCGACCCCGAGCGGCGCACGGCGCUCCGCAAAGCCACCGCAGCGCCGCACGAACUGCAGCCCAGCUCCGAGCGCUGCGUUUGGAGGGCGGUGCGAAGGAGCAGCUUUGGGGAGGACAGACGGAGCGGCGCCGGGUUCCGCCCCCAGCCCACAGCCAGCAGUGCAGGACGCGGAGCUGCGAGAGGCGCAGCGCUCCUCAGUUCACAGCGAUGGCUGCAAGGGGACGCGCGCCCUGA
rnacentral:lncRNA from 1 species